rnacentral:rRNA from 1 species
UACGUAGGGGGCAAGCGUUGUCCGGAAUCAUUGGGCGUAAAGCGCGUGUAGGCGGCUCGAUAAGUCUGCUGUGAAAGUUCAGGGCUCAACCCUGAAAUGCCGGUGGAAACUGUCGAGCUAGAGUCCGGAAGAGGCGAGUGGAAUUCCUGGUGUAGCGGUGAAAUGCGCAGAUAUCAGGAGGAACACCAAUGGCGAAAGCAGCUUUCUGGGACGGUACUGACGCUGAGACGCGAAAGCGUGGGGAGCGAACAGG